UACGGAGGGUGCAAGCGUUAUCCGGAUUUACUGGGUUUAAAGGGUGCGUAGGUGGUUAAUUAAGUCAGUGGUGAAAUCUUCAGGCUUAACCUGGAAACUGCCAUUGAUACUAUUUAUCUUGAAUACUUUGGAGGUAAGCGGAAUAUGUCAUGUAGCGGUGAAAUGCUUAGAUAUGACAUAGAACACCAAUUGCGAAGGCAGCUUACUACACAGUAAUUGACACUGAGGCACGAAAGCGUGGGGAUCAAACAGG
rnacentral:rRNA from 1 species